CCUACGGGGGGCUGCAGUGGGGAAUAUUGGACAAUGGGGGCAACCCUGAUCCAGCCAUGCCGCGUGUGUGAAGAAGGCCCUCGGGUUGUAAAGCACUUUCAGUGAGGAAGAACGCCUGGUGGUUAAUACCCAUCAGGAAAGACAUCACUCACAGAAGAAGCACCGGCUAACUCCGUGCCAGCAGCCGCGGUAAUACGGAGGGUGCGAGCGUUAAUCGGAAUUACUGGGCGUAAAGCGCGCGUAGGUGGCUUGAUAAGCCGGUUGUGAAAGCCCCGGGCUCAACCUGGGAACGGCAUCCGGAACUGUGAAGCUAGAGUGCAGGAGAGGAAGGUAGAAUUCCCGGUGUAGCGGUGAAAUGCGUAGAGAUCGGGAGGAAUACCAGUGGCGAAGGCGGCCUUCUGGACUGACACUGACACUGAGGUGCGAAAGCGUGGGUAGCAAACAGGAUUAGAUACCCUGGUAGUC
rnacentral:rRNA from 1 species